UCGAUAAUUUUCCCAGACUAUCAACAAAUUCCAAGAAACCGAAGCGCCAACCCAAAUUCUGAGCAGUCUCAACAUGAUAAGGUUAAUAUCCCCAGUUGUAACUAAUAUCGAAAUGAAUAAGAAUCUCUGCGGCUGUCAUGGCGGUGUCGAAAUGAAAUUGCGACUGUCGAAAUGAAUUAGAAUCAGGGCCUGGGUUUUUUGGUACACGCUAAUUUGAGCCAAGGUUCAUAGAUAGGGGUUAGGUUAUCUCAUAACUAUGUGGGCGGAAGCGAGAGGGAGGGGAAUGCCUACGUCACUCGUACGACAAAGUCAAGUUUGACAGUUGUUUGUGGUUAUAUUCGUUUAUUUGUUUAAUAUUUGUUGAGUUUUUAAGCAUAUAAGGACAAUAUUACUAUAAUUACUUAUUUGGGUCCUAUACAAAGGCAGUAAUGACUUGUGAAGUGUGUUUUCGUAACCGUGUAAAAUGAGUGGUGGUAACAUUUAAUUGUAGCAUAGCUAUAUGUAAAAGCAACUCCAAAAUUCCUGAACCAGAUGGAAACAAAAUAAUGUUUUUGGACAUUUCCCAAAUACCUUAACAUUAUCAAACAAUAAUGGAUAAUAAAAUGUUCAAGAUAAAUGGGCCUCUAAACAUAAGAAAAUAGGUAGCAAACAUUUCCUCGUGUCUGAAUAUGUUAAUAUUAUGUUACGUCUUUUUUAUAUUUUAACCUAAUAAUAAAUUAUUUAUAUUA